AACCCCACAGGCACAAUGGCCUGUGACCCGCAAGGGGGCCAACGGACUGAACUGAAACAUCUAAGUAAGUCCAGGAAAGGAAAUCAAACGAGACUCCCUUAGUAGUGGCGAGCGAAAAGGGGAUCAGCCCAAACCCGUAGAUUACGGUCUGCGGGGGUCGUGGGACAUCGAUAUGUAGUUGGAACGCUAGUCGAACCCCUUUUGGAAAAGAGGGGCCAGAGUCGGUGACAGCCCGGUAGGCGAAAGCGAGAAGACGCUAGAUGUAUCCCGAGUAGGACGAGGCACGUGGAACCUUGUCUGAAUCUGGGGGGACCACCCUCCAAGGCUAAGUACUCCCUAGUGACCGAUAGUGAACAAGUACCGUGAGGGAAAGGUGAAAAGCACCCCAGCGAGGGGAGUGAAAAGUCCCUGAAACCGAAAGUCUACAAGCAGUGGAAGCACCAU
rnacentral:rRNA from 1 species